CCUACGGGAGGCAGCAGUGAGGAAUAUUGGUCAAUGGACGAGAGCCUGAACCAGCCAAGUAGCGUGAAGGAUGACUGCCCUAUGGUUUGUAAACUUCUUUUAUAUGGGAAUAAAACAGGGUAUGCAUACCCUCUUGUAUGUACCAUAUGAAUAAGGAUCGGCUAACUCCGUGCCAGCAGCCGCGGUAAUACGGAGUAUCCGAGCGUUAUCCGGAUUUAUUGGGUUUAAAGGGUGCGUAGGUGGAUUGUUAAGUCAGUUGUGAAAGUUUGCGGCUCAACCGUAAAAUUGCAGUUGAAACUGGUAGUCUUGAGUACGGUAGAGGUGGGCGGAAUUCGUGGUGUAGCGGUGAAAUGCUUAGAUAUCACGAAGAACACCGAUUGCGAAGGCAGCUUACUAAAAUGUGACUGACAUUGAUGCUCGAAAGUGUGGGUAUCAAACAGGAUUAGAUACCCGAGUAGUC
rnacentral:rRNA from 1 species